GUGUCAGCCGCCGCGGUAAUACGUAGGGCGCAAGCGUUGUCCGGAUUCACUGGGUGUAAAGGGUGCGCAGGCGGGAAUGCAAGUCAGAGGUGAAAUCUCACGGCUUAACCGUGAAACUGCCUUUGAUACUGCAUUUCUUGAGUCAGGGAGAGGUUGAUGGAAUUCCAGGUGUAGCGGUGAAAUGCGUAGAUAUCUGGAAGAACACCGGUGGCGAAGGCGGUCAACUGGCCCUGAACUGACGCUCAGGCACGAAAGCGUGGGGAUCAAACAGGAUUAGAUACCCGCGUAGUCC
rnacentral:rRNA from 1 species